rnacentral:lncRNA from 1 species
UGUUACACGCCUAAAUCCAAAACUCUCACCAAUAAUGUAAAAGGUAGCUCCUUCAAAAGGUAGCUCCUUGGUCGGAAUCUGCAAUCAAAGAACAUCGUUAGCCUUAACGCGAGAGGUGGCUUCCCGUGUUUGAAGUCCGGCGUUAGAAUCAGUGGAAUGAUCUUUAAGAAUCUAAGCGAAAUGAAAGGAUAAAAGUUUAGAAUGAGAGUGAGAACGACAGAAUUAGUUUGGGCUGAACAAGACUCUCCUUUUAUAGGCAGAUUGCUCUGCCCAAGGAAGCCUUGUGCCAGCUGAUACCUUCUAGUUUUGUCUUUUCUGAAAAAAGAAAAUGAAAAGAGUUUCAAAUUAUCGAACAAGGGAACUAGAAGCAUGAGGCUUUUUUAUUUCUGUGACCAUGGGCUUCUCGUCAGAAGCCCAGAAGUGAUUGAUGGGACAGUGCCGCAGGGGAGCUCUGAAUUGCCCUAGGCUGCCAACUGUUGGCAGUUACAUCUCCACCCUCCACCUGUCCGUUUGCUAGGGAUUUUGAAUUUUUGAACUCUGUAACUUCCUUAUAACCGCUCAUUUCAUCUUCUCCUUUACUUUUCUUUUCUCUUCAAAUUCUCUCUUUUGUUCGACGGUUUUUCCGGUGAUUCAUCUUUAAAAACUCGGUAAGUCGUCACUUCUUUACUUUUCAAAUGGGGUCUAAUAGUGUAACACCCCAAAAUGUGUACAUGUUAGUACCUUAGUUGGUUUUAAUACUGUAAUAUGGAAAAUGAUAUUAUAUUGCAAACCAUGACUAACAACUAACAUGUUAAUAAAUACUAACGUUUAAUAUGAAGCUUUUUGGUAGAUACUAAUUAAACUAGUUAAAAUACUUAUGUACAUGUCUUCUAGAAAAGGGUAAGAAAUAUUGAUCAAAUUAAAUACUAGAUUAAACAUGAGGGGCUGAAUGUGGCACUUGGAAAAGUUAGAGUAUAAGAAAAACAAGUGGAGGAUUUUAUGUAUGUGUGUGUGUCUGUGCGUGGUUUAUAGAGAGAGAGAAAGAAAGGCAAUUCAAACAAACUGAUGGAUAAAAUCAAUGCCAGUCGUAUGCAUGAGCCCUAAUAAGUAAUCAUCUAUUCUUGUCUAACAAGAGGUAAGUCACAAUUUUUGAUUUGGUGAUUGUUUUAGAAAGUGGGUUGCAAUCAAUCCAUGAAUUCAUGUGAAAUUAGUAUGGUUAUGAGUUAGAAUCGCUUCAUAGAAUAAGAAUUAUGCUUGAUUGUGGUCAUCUUGAUGAUUAGAAAUGAAAACCCACUUGUAGUAGAAAUAUGAUGAAGUAUGAUGAUCUUGCAGGUGCAAAAUAGGUGUAAAGUUGAUGUAUGAACUUGUAUGCAAUAGAGUAUUGGAUUGAUUAUGGUAAUCCAUGUUGUGAAAUAGGAAGUGUUAGCGAUGGAUUUUCUAAGCUUAUGGAACAUGGAUCCUCAAAUGUAGCUUGGAUCAAGGAUCCUCAGUUCGGUUUGAAUUAAGGAUCCUUAGAAGAUGUUGCAGCAAUAAAGAUCCAGGAUCCUCAUUAUUAUCCUAACACUAACAAUUGUUUCCAUCAUUUUUGAACUUGUUUUGCAGGUGUAUUCGAAUAGGACUUGGUCCAACCGAGAUUCUAGGGGAAUAUGCUUCAUGAUUCUGCACGUGCAUGAGCUCUUCGACCGUUAUGGUGAUCGUGGGGGACUUGCACCUUUUUUGGAUUGUUAGUUAGUCUAGCUAGUUUCUAUUUUUAAAUGGGGAUACAAGCUUGAUUAGAUUGUUAUUAGCAACACAACUGCACUACACUCGAACUCUCAAGAACUCUAUGCGAUUACACAGUUUUGCACUAUAGUGAUCCUUGUACCAAGCUUGUUAUCAUCCCGAUUUGUAAACCUUGUUUGUUUAAUAUAGUUGGUGAUCGGUAGUUUCCAUCACCCAAGAUUUUUUGUGCCGGAGAUCAUACAUUGAUCAAGGGCUUUUUCCUUGUAUAAAUCCUUGUGUUCACCAUUCAUUUCAUUCAUUCAUUGUUCAUACAUUUGAUCAUUUAAUUAAGCAUCACACCUCACAA